rnacentral:rRNA from 1 species
AAGCGUGCGCAGGCGGUUAUGUAAGACAGAUGUGAAAUCCCCGGGCUCAACCUGGGAACUGCAUUUGUGACUGCAUGGCUAGAGUACGGUAGAGGGGGAGUGGAAUUCCGCGUGUAGCAGUGAAAUGCGUAGAUAUGCGGAGGAACACCGAUGGCGAAGGCAAUCCCCUGGACCUGUACUGACGCUCAUGCACGAAAGCGUGGGGAGCAAACAGGAUUAGAUACCCUUGU